rnacentral:misc_RNA from 1 species
GAAUGAAGAACGUAGCGAAAUGCGAUAAGUAAUGUGAAUUGCAGAAUUCAGUGAAUCAUCGAAUCUUUGAACGCACAUUGCGCCCCCUGGUAUUCCGGGGGGCAUGCCUGUCCGAGCGUCAUUACAACCCUCAAGCUCUGCUUGGUGUUGGGCCCCGCCGCCCCGGCGGGCCCUAAAGUCAGUGGCGGUGCCAUCCGGCUCCGAGCGUAGUAAUUCUUCUCGCUCUGGAGGUCCGGUUGUGUGCUUGCCAUCAACCCCCAAUUUUUUUCAGGUUGACCUCGGAUCAGGUAGGGAUACCCGCUGAACUUAAGCAUAUCAAUAAGCGGAGGA